rnacentral:lncRNA from 1 species
GGUUUCUGGUCUGUAGACUAGGAUAUUGGAGUUUUAGUCACGUUACUGGAGGCAUGAGGGCCCUAAAGCAGCAGCUUGGAACAGGUGCAUGGUAAGUUGUGGGAGUGGAGGACUGUGGGGAAAGGACAGGCCUUCCCUAAGUGAGGGGCUACUACUGUGGAGAGUGGUCUAGUUUCCUCUCUGCCCCUACGAGCAUCCAGGGGAAGAAGCUGGUGGUCAAUGAUGGGCAGACUAGUCCUAGGUCCUAAGACACUGGAGUGUCUGGAUGACUAGUGUGACCUCUCAGAGAAGAGGUGCACACCCAGGGGUCUGGCUAUGGGAAGGGGAGGGUGUCAGUACAGGAACUGCAGGGACUAGGCCAGGCUGGGUGCACAGAGGCAAGGACAGGGUCGUGAGGCUGGUGCUUGAUGAGAAAAACUCAGUCUAGAUAUCUGGGCCAGGCCCCAGGAGAGUAGGGGUCAGGCCUUCAUGGUUGGUGUUGGAGAGCCCUGAACAGGAUAUGACUUGGUCUUCCCUGUGGAGAACUCGGAGGACUAGCUGGAGCAUUCAGGUAUUUAAGGAACAAUGUCAGUGUGCCAGGAACUCUUGGGGAGCUUACAUCCCAGUGGAAGAGAGAGUUCACCUCUUUGAGCUUUCUGGCAAAGUCAAGGGUGCUAAGUGCUGUGUCAGGGCCGUCCAAAGGUCCUGAUAUGAGUAGGACUUGGAGGAGGUCAGUCAGGACCAGCCUUGUUUGGGUGUUGAAACACAGGAGUAUCUGUGUGGAGGAAGCCUGGGGGAGCGGGGCGCAGGGGAGCACGAGGUCCUCAAGGUUCUCAGUGGUUGCAUCAGGAGUGCCCAGGUCAUCUUGUCCUGGGCAGAGGAUGGGUUUAGAAGAGAAUGUCGGCUGUGUAUCCUUUGUAUCUUCCAGAGGUACACAGCCCUCCAACUCCGGGACAAUGUGUGGGAGUGCCUUUGGCUCCGGCGUUCCCCUAGCUCCUUUGUCCACAGGAUGCUCUUGGCUGCCAGGAAGUUCCUACUCCUCAUCUUUCCAGGCCCAGGUUUCCAAUUGCAACGGGCUUUUGUGUGGCACUAGAAGAAACCAGCUUUUGCAAGCAUGGGGCUGA